rnacentral:rRNA from 1 species
GACGAACGCUGGCGGCGUGCUUAACACAUGCAAGUCGAACGGAAAGGCCCUGCUUGCCGGGUACUCGAGUGGCGAACGGGUGAGUAACACGUGGGUGAUCUGCCCUGCACUUCGGGAUAAGCCUGGGAAACUGGGUCUAAUACCGGAUAGGAGCCAUUUUUAGUGUGAUGGUUGGAAAGUUUUUUCGGUGUAGGAUGAGCUCGCGGCCUAUCAGCUUGUUGGUGGGGUAAUGGCCUACCAAGGCGGCGACGGGUAGCCGGCCUGAGAGGGUGGACGGCCACAUUGGGACUGAGAGAAGGCCCAGACUCCGAAGGGAGGCAGCAGGGGGGAAGAUUGAACAAUGGGCGCAAGCCUGAUGCAGCGACGCCGCGUGGGGGAUGACGGCCUUAGGGUUGUAAACUCCUUUCGCUAGGGACGAAGCUUUUUGUGACGGUACCUAGAUAAGAAGCACCGGCUAACUACGUG